GUGUCAAUUUUGCUAAAUAUUACAAAGAAAAAUGAUUUUCUAGUGUUUAUUUUAGUAUCAGAAAUAAUAAAUUACCUAAAGCAUAAAUAAACGUAAAAUAUAAACUAAACAAACAAAAGGAAACUUUUUUGAAACUAUGACCAAGGACAAGGAAUCCGAUCGCCACAGUAAUACCGACUCUGAGGCAGGGUCGGUGCGAUCCAACCGCGCCAGCAAACUUGGAGCCAUCCUGUGCCCCACUGCCUGUGCUUUGCUACUCGUCUGCGUCUUUGCAGUCUCCUUCAUCGGAGCCAAGCUCGCCUAUGACCAGUAUGACGCGUUCUGUACUGCCCGCCGAUUUGAUGUAGCCAAACUGUACAUUUUCCCUAAUGUUACUUUGAAACUGCGAGCCAUUUAGCAAUGAAAUAAAGUUAUGUUUCGUAUUAA